GUCUAUGGCCAUACCACCCUGAAUGCACAUGAUCUCUUCUAAUCUCAGAAGCUAAGCAGAGACAGGCCUGGUGAAUCAGAGUUGGGCCUGAUUAUACUUGGAUGGGAGAAAUG
rnacentral:rRNA from 1 species